rnacentral:rRNA from 1 species
AUUAGACGAAUCAUCUGGAAAGAUGAAUCAAAGAAGGUAAUAAUCCUGUAGUCGAAAAUGUUGUCUCUCUUGAGUGGAUCCUGAGUACGACGGAGCACGUGAAAUUCCGUCGGAAUCUGGGAGGACCAUCUCCUAAGGCUAAAUACUCUCUAGUGACCGAUAGUGAACCAGUACCGUGAGGGAAAGGUGAAAAGCACCCCGGAAGGGGAGUGAAAUAGAACCUGAAACCGUGUGCUUACAAGUAGUCAGAGCCCGUUAAUGGGUGAUGGCGUGCCUUUUGUAGAAUGAACCGGCGAGUUACGAUUUGAUGCAAGGUUAAGCAGUAAAUGUGGAGCCGUAGCGAAAGCGAGUCUGAAUAGGGCGUUUAGUAUUUGGUCGUAGACCCGAAACCAGGUGAUCUACCCUUGGUCAGGUUGAAGUUCAGGUAACACUGAAUGGAGGACCGAACCGACUUACGUUGAAAAGUGAGCGGAUGAACUGAGGGUAGCGGAGAAAUUCCAAUCGAACCUGGAGAUAGCUGGUUCUCUCCGAAAUAGCUUUAGGGCUAGCCUCAAGUGAUGAUUAUUGGAGGUAGAGCACUGUUUGGACGAGGGGCCCCUCUCGGGUUACCGAAUUCAGACAAACUCCGAAUGCCAAUUAAUUUAACUUGGGAGUC